rnacentral:lncRNA from 1 species
AUUUAACCAACAAGGAAGCUGAGGCUCAGAGAGGGGAAGCGCCCAAGGUCACACAGCUGGGAUGUGGCAGAGCUGGGGUUCCAGCUCCUGUUCCCAUUGCUGGACAGCUGCCACAUCUGGCACCCAAUUUAGGACCCCGCGGGGAGGCCCAAGCCCCGGGGGUGGCGGGGGAUCCUAGAGGAAAGUGGCAAGGCCAGGACCCUGGAGCAGAGCCAGUGGAAUGUCACCAUCGCCCAGGUGGGGAUUUUUGUGUGUUUUGUUCACUGCUGUACACCCAGCCCCCAGCACAGCGCCUGUCCAGGACAAGUGCCCAGUAAACACUUGGGAAGCAAUGCAAGCGUCCUCCCAGCAGCUCCUGCAAACAGACCCCCGACCCAAGCCCUUCCUUCUGCCUCCACUGCCACCACUGCUGCUCAUCUCUGCUGGCACAGAAGUCUCUUCCCUGGUCUUCCAGAAAUCCCCUCUCCACACUCAGCCAGAGGGAGCUAUUAAAACUGUGGGCCAGCCCACAUCAGUCCACAGCAAAGUCCUCUCUAAGGGAUCUCUGUUGCUUGGAGAAUAAACCCUCGGAUUCCUUCCUUGGCUCUCGGGGCCUCCUCUCUGACCUCCCUCUGUCUCCUCUCCCAGCCUUCCUCCUCACUCACCCUCCAGCCAUGCUGGCUUCCUCCUUGCUCCUGAAACAGCCUGAGGCCCACACUGCCCCGGGCCCUUUGCACUGGCUGUUUCCUCUGCCUGGAACACUUCUCCUAGGCAUCCACAGGGCUCCCUCCCACAACUCCUUCGGGUGCCCACAUGGGAAGCCAUCCCUGACCACCCCCCCGACUUCCUUCUGAGCAAGGUAGGGUCUUUCUACCUAGUCAUGAGGGCAGGGAUUUUUGUCUGUUGUGUUCUCUGUGUGCCCCCAGUGCCAUCCCAGUGCCUGGCAGAUGGUAAGUGCUCGACACACAUUGGCUGACUGCCUGAAUGAACAACUCUAUGAGCCGAUGGCAGAUAAGGACACUGAGGUCCUCUGGGGUAGGUGACCAGCCCAAGGCCACACAGCUGGUCUGAGAUUAGGCCAGGAGAGGAGCCCGGGUUGGUCACAUCCUGGAGUUGGCGUCUUGGAAACUGCAUCAGGAGAAUAACAAAGAUGAGACGCAGGCUCUAACAAGUGGAUACCAGUGACUCUCGCCCCGCCAGCCCCAGCCCUGCAGCCUUGGGCCCUUCCAGGAGUCAUGGUCUGCCUGCCUGGGGCAUUCCAGGCUUCGACCCAGGUCCUGCACUUUCUAUUUUGAGCCUCUUAGUCCUGAGGACUGUGUGUUCCCAGCAGGCGGCGCGGGCCAGAGGCUGAGCCUGGGUGUGGCUGUCACCCUAUCUGGGGCCAGAGACCCAGAUUCCCGGGCCCUUAACCUGUUGGCUGCUGAGGGCUCUGGCAUAAGCCCUGUUCCCUGCUUGAUUGUCUCCCCUUCAAGCCCCUGCCCUGGUAUCGUAUCGGCCCAUCUCACCUUGGAUUAUAUCCCUGUUUGGCCCCAUUUGAAUCCUGGCUCUGCCCCUUUCCAGCAAUGUGACCUUGGGCAAGUCACUUCAUCUCUCUGGGUCUCAGUUUCUUCAUCUGGGAAAUGGGGACAAUAAGAGUACCUGUCUCUGGCCAUGUGUGGUGACUCAUGCCUGUAACCCCAGCGCUUUGGGAAGCCGAGGCGAGAGAAUUGCUUGAGACCAGGAGUUUGAGAUCAGCCCUGGGCAACAUAGUGAGACCCCUGUCUCUACAAAAUUCUAAAAAAAUUAGCCGGGUGUGGUGGUGUGUGCCUGUAGUCCCAGCUAUUCUAGAGGCUGAGGCGGGAGGAUUGCUUGAGCCCAGGAGUUUGAGGCUGCAGUGAGCUAUGAUUAUGCCCCUGCACAUCAGCCUGGGUGAUAGAUUGAGGCCCCAUCUCUAAAAAUAACAAUACUAAUAAUAAAUAAAAAUGAAAAUGAGUACCUGUCUUCUGGGGUUGCAGAGGAGAUUCAAUGUGAUGAAAUUGAUGAGAGUGCCCUGCAGGGAGCCGGAAACUCAGGGAGCAUCGAUAAUGAGUCCCCCACCAUCAGCAGCUGGCUUAAAUAUAAAAACUGUCAUGGCCUCUGGAGAAAUGACAAGAAUUCGAAGGAGCUUCCCUGCACUGGCCACCCUACACCCUACACCCUUACUUCCUCCCCUCAACUUGCCUGGAUUUAUCGACCCCCACUACCCCACUGGUUGCCUUCUCUCCACCUGGCACAUUUCGUAUGAAUUUGCUUGUUGGUUCUUGCCUAUCUCCCCAGUAGAACAUUAGCUCCUUCAGGACAGGGACUUUUGUCUACCUUAUGCACCUAGUGCAAUGCCUGGCACACAGUCGGUGCUUAAUAAAUGUUUCUUAAAAGAACCAAUAAAUGAAUAGUGACCUCUCCGGGGAGAGGAGCCCUGAGCUCACCUCCUGCCCCCAGCCCAGGGCUCUUAGGUGCUUGUUGGUGUCAGGCCCAGGCCCCCCUCUCAUCAAGCAGCCAAUAAAACUGCCCUGGUUGGCGUUCUCAUUUCACAGAUGGAGAGACUGAGCCCAGAGAGGGAGAGUCACCUGUCUGAUGUCACACAGAGGUCAGCAUCUGGGCUGGGAUUCCAGCCCAGGACCAUGUGGGGUGGGGGGCAGUGGAUCAAUCUUUUCCUGGAGGGAGUCAAUGGUGAUGGUGGGAAUGGGUCAGGGGUGCUGGCAAGGAGGGUCCAAGGCCCCCAGGAGGGAGGGAGGCAUGGGAGAUGAGUUUGUCCCUCUUGAGUUCUGUCUCUCUCUGUGUCUCUCUGUUUCUGCCUCUUUCUGUCUCCUUGUAUUUCUCAGUCCCUGUCUUCGUCUAUACCUCUUUCUCUCUUCCUUGUGUAUCUGACCCACUGCCCAGGAGGGGAUGCAGGCAGAGACCCCUGGCUUGGGUCCUGGAGUUGGGGCCCACGAGGGGAUUGACAUCUGGGGUUGAGCUGGGAAUCUGAAGCCAGACCCUGCAGCCAGGGACAGCAUUCCAGUCUCGGCUCCACACUCCAGGGAUAGCCUUGGAACGCCAGGCAGUUCAGAGAGCCUGAGGUCUGGUCUUGGAGACCUGGGUUCCAAUCCCAGCUUUGCCACAUUCCAGCCAUGUGGCCUUGGGCCCUUAGCCUUUGUUCCUGUAAAAUGGGACCACUGAGAGCCCGAUCUCAGGGUUUUAUGAGGAGGAACGAUGAGAGGGCUGUGCUGGGCUUCCUGAAGCCCUGUGUGGCCUGGAAAGCACUCAAUAGAUGAUAACUCAGUGUAAUGAUUUCUUCUAGCAGAUGGGGAAAGCGAGAGUUAAAGAGGCCCGAUCAUUUCACUCACUCAUUCCUCAAACGUUAUUAAGCACCUGCUAUGCACCAGGUGCUUUGUUUUGUAUCCAUUAACUCAGGGUUCAGCAAACUACAGCCUCCAGGCCAAAUCUGGUUCACAGCCUGUUUUUAUAAAUAAAGUUUUAUUGGCACACAGUAUGCCCAUUCAUUUACAUAUUGUCCACAGCUGCCUUUACCCUACAACUGCAAUGUUGAGCAGUUGUGAGAGAGACCUUAAAACCCACAAAGCUGAACAUAUGAACUCUCUGGACAUUUACAGUAAAGUUUGCUAAUCCCUGGAUUAGCCCAUUACAACCCUGGAGGAAGGACAUGUCAUAAGCUUGAUUUUAUGGAUUAGGAACUGAGGUCCGAGCGCAGUGUCUGC